ensembl:lncRNA
CUUCUCUUUCCUCUGAGCCCUUCUCCCUCGCCUCCUUCCUUUCUUCUUCCAGGGUUAAAAAUAAUCAACUUUCUGGGAAGCAGCAGCUCCCGCCGAGCAGCCCUCCCGCGCCCGGGCGCCCCUGAGAAUAGCUCGGCGCCCCCUUCUUCCUCCUCCCUGCGCGCUGACUAAUCAGCCUGGGCCGGCACCUUAACCGCUUCAUGCCCGGGGACGGCGGACAAGACGCGGCGGGGCUGGCGGCAGGAUGCACUUUGACCUCUGUCUGCCGAGGCUACAUCUGGCCGGGUGGCAGCGAGGGGACACGGGACAGGGGCAGUGCGGACGUCCCAGGGACACGUGGGGGCCAUGUGGCCCGGAGGACUUCUGGUCCUGGGUCCGGGUACCACCCGGAGGGGCAGAACCCCGACUGGGGCUAAGAGGCGGUCCGGGCAGGGAGGGCUGCACAAGGCCCUGGGGUCCCCGGACGCCUCCCUCCCCGCAGGUAGGGCCGUCCGUAUGUCCGCGGAGGGAAACUGAGGGCUGGGUGAGGUGAUUCAGGCCAGGACGGCUCCGGGCUCCCGCCACAGACACGCGGGGCAUCCUCGGCUCGGGUUGGGGGUUCGGCCCGGCCGCAAUGGGGGCGGAGCGGGGAGCGCCGAAGUCAAAGGUGAACGGCUGAACUCGGCUGGCGCAGCGGCCCCGCUCACUCUGCGCGCCCCGACAUUACCUCAUCGCUGCGCGCGCCCAUUGGCUGCUUACCUCUUCGCCCCACGCGCCCAUUGGCUGCUUCCCACGGAGGCCGGCCCAAUGCGGCGGGAGCGUUAACCCCUUCCGUGACGAGCCCUGCGCUGCUCCUGCAGCCUCGGCUGCCUUCACGUGGCUUCGGGCGCCCGAGGCCCACGGGGGUGGGCGGGGUGCGCGGGGCGGGGCAGGCAGGCGGUCGGAGCCUCCACCGGUUAGCCCCUAGGUCGCAUCGCCCCGGUGUGGGCCCCCUGCUCCUCCGGGCUGUGUGACCUUGGGCAACCGUGCCACCUCGCUGAGCCCGGCGUGUUUGCUCAGCUGUAAACAGCAGCGGAUGAUGUCACUCGUGGCCUCCCUGAUUCCUCGGCGCCUGCCAAGCGUCGGGUGCACGUGGGCUCCGCGCUGCACAUUUUGCCUCCGCGCUGCAAGAGGUGCGGUUAUUAUUAUGAGAUUGCGGGGGGGGGAGAAAACCAGCUCAGAGCUGCAGAGCGGCUUCCCAAGGACGCACAGCGAGAGUCCCAGAGCUGGGACCCCGAGCCCGAGCAAGCCCACAGCGCCCACGGAGGGGCCCACUUCCUGCUGCAGGGACACGAUCGAUGCCUGGCCGGCCAGACCACGGCACAGGCUGCUGUAAUCACAUAAAACCAGUGCCAAGCUGAGAGCCACCCAGGGCCUCCAGAGAGGCUUCGGUCCGGCUUUGAGGGAGGCAGAGGUCCCUCAGACAAAGGCGGGGACGGUGGCGCCCUGGGGGUGCAAAGUGGGGCGGGAAGCAGCAGGGCCCCCUGUGAUUCACCUUCUGGCUGGGGCUCAGCUAACAAACUGCUGAAUAAAACACGCUCUGUCCUCCUUCCUUGACAAAUACGCUGUCGCCAUAAGGACACCGAGACCUGGGAGCCUGGGUUCGAAUUUAGAAGUCUCAGCCAGAGUUCCCACCCAGCCCCUCUUCCCUUUCUGCUCCGGGGCAGGGCUGCGUGUGCCUGGGUACAGACACCCCCUAGCCCCCACCCUAAGCCUUGGGUGGCCCCACGAGCAUCUCACAUGGGCCUUGGGAGGACAGGCUCGGAAGCGGCGGGGACUCCAGGGUCCUAGUUUAAGGGCCUCAGGGUUGCAGGUGCUGCGUGAUCCCAUGGGAUUCGCAUGGUGGCCCCUCCUGCCGAGUCCUUGGGGUGACCCACGCUGGACAUAGGGGCCUCCUUCCUUCCUGGUCGUGUUCCUGACCCUCAACCAGCCUCAGAGACCACCCUGGCCGGAUCCCAAGAGCCCUCCCCCUCCCUCCUGCCCCCAGCCCAGGUGGGCCGGGCUCUCUCCCCACGCUCCCUGCUGCCCCGCCUGCUCCUCUCCCUCCCCUCCCCGGGGUCCCAGCCCCAUUCCCUAGCCACUCCGGUACCCAGCCUGCCCCUACGUCAGCCAGAUAGACCUUUCCAGAACACGGCCGACCACUUCCUCCCCUCCCCGCCAGGCCUGGCUCCAGGCCCCUGGGGCGUGCGUCAUCCCAGCCCUGAUGGCUGGCUCUCCGCAGCGGAGCUUAGCUGUGUGGACCUCGUCUCCAGCCCGGACAGCCCUGUCCUUCCUGUCUGCUACUCCCGCUGCCUGGAACCCGGGGCAUCUUCUUCACCUUGCCUACCUCGGCUCUCGGUCGCCUCCGGGGAGCCUUCCUGACCCCCAGUCUGGCAGAAACCACGUGGGUCUUGGUAAGCUGUCCAGGCUGGGCUCAAACUCGUGAUCUCCCUGCCACAGCCUUGCAGAGUGCUGGGAUGACAGGCGAGCACCACCACGCCCAGUUCGCAGCCACCUUUGGAAAGGGACCCAUCAUCUCCAUUUGUGGUCUCAGGACACUGAGACCCUACAGCUUCAGGCACCAGCUCAGGGCAGGCGCACAGCUGACCAGCCUGGGGUGGGCACAGCCAGCUGAGCUCCUGCAGGCAGGGCAGGCCCCUCGCUUCCCUGCUGGGGAGACAAAGGCAGGGGGAGCCUGAGGGGAGGAGCUGGGGCCUCCCACAUGGAGCAGCUGUGUGGUCUGGGACCCCACCUGCACCACCAGCCUCCGUUUCCCCAUCUGCCACACUCCCCGAGCCUGGCCCUUGUGGGUGGAGUGAUGGGAACACGGUGGUAGUCAAGCCGGGGUCCCCCCGACAAGAGCUCCACACACAUUAAGGGCCCUGCCACCGCCCUGUGGGACGAGGAACACUUCCCAGAGGAGGGCAGGACGUGGGGGCUCAGAAGGGGACUGAGACUCAGCUGAGGCCACACAGCAAGAAGGAGGAGCCAAGAUUUUGCCCUUAGCCCCUCUGCUGCCACCUGUCUCUGGCAAAAGUGUUCCUUCCACACCUUCAUCACUGGGAGGAGGAACCAUGAGAGACUUUUGGAAUUUGAAGAAAACCUUCGAGGGUCAGGUGCCAUGUGUGCGCCUGUGAUUCCAGCCCUCUGGGAGGCUGAGGCAGGAGGAUCCCGAAUGCCAGCCCAGACUCCAGGGAUUUAGUGAGAUCCUGUCUCAAAAUAAACAGUAACAAAAGGGCUCGGGCCCUGGAUUCAAUCUCCAGUACCACACAACAGAAAAAGAGUACCACCCUGGACUCCAGCAGCUCUGCCUGCUCUUGAGCCCUGCCCCUCCCCUGGAGCUGGCAGGAAGCACCUCCCACAGGGUCACAGGAAGUGUGGGACCCCGACACUAGAGUGGGGCUGGAACCCUCACCUCUGGGACCCAGGGGCCAGUUCCCCAGCAGCCCCAGCCCUGAAGGGACCCACAGGCCACCUUAAUCGUUUCUACCAGGACAUCUCAGAGUUCCCGCCAUGUCCUUUGCAGAGUUCGCCCAUUUUCCAGAUGAGAAGUUGAGGCCUUGACGGAAGUGACCUCCAGGGGCUGGCACUGCCCAAGCUGGGGUGGCGGUGGGGCCCAUCGAAGCCCUGGUGAGGGCUUCAGUGGGACGGGGGUCACUGUACAGCUGAGUGGGUGGGCUUGAGGAGGCCUGGGUGGGUGAUCUGAGGGGGGUGGGGUCCCUGCCUUCACUGGGGACCCAUGCCACCCACAGGGGGCAACACUAGGGGCCAGAGGAGGGGACGCCCCCACUCCCGUCCAAGGUGCGCAUGUGUGGUCUGUGACUCGGGAGUCAGAGCACAUGGCCCGAGCCUGUGUGUGCCCGUGUGCGUUCACGUGGUUCUGUGACCUGCGUCUUGGUGUGUGUGUGUAUGCGCGUACAGCCCUAACUGGGACACUCCCCAGGGGAAGAGCUCCGGAGAGAUGGAGGUGGACUUGGCUGGGACAGUGGGGCCUGGGCAGGCCCAGCCUCUGCCCAGGUAGGGUCAGUCGGCCAGGCAACAGGCUGGAUAGAGUGGGGAAGGCCGCCUGGCUGAGAUCCUCAUCCCUGCUCAGCCUGUCGUGCAACCAAAAUGGUCUUAGUUUUCAUCUGAAAAUCCAGUCCAAGAUCAUGUGCCAAAGGGCCCAGAAAGAACCUGAAGCCUGCAGUCCCAGCCCUUGGGAGGCUGAGGCAGGAGGAUCGCCAUGAGUUCAAAGCCAGCCUGGGUAACAGUUCAAGGCCAGCCUGAACUACAUAGUGAGAUUCUGUGUCAAAUAAACAAAAACAGAAAGACACUGAGAGCUGCUAGCAAAUUCAGGGAGCCAGGAGAACACUGUGUGCGUGUUUAGGACUUGAGCCCAGGUGAUGAGUCCAGCAG